GGGUCGAUGGCGUAGUUGGUUAUCGCAUCUGUCUAACAUGGGUUUGAUAUUUCGAGUCGAAUGUUCAUUCGAGUCGAAAUAUCAAGGCUGUCACAACACAGAAGGUCCUCAGUUCGAACCUGGGUCGACUCA